ACUCAAAUGAAUUGACGGGGGCCCGCACAAGCGGUGGAGCAUGUGGUUUAAUUCGACGCAACGCGAAGAACCUUACCUGGGCUUGAACUACUAGUGGUAGCUCUUUGGAAACAUUGAGCGACCCGCAAGGGAGCUAGUAGAGGUGCUGCAUGGUUGUCGUCAGCUCGUGUCGUGAGAUGUUGGGUUAAGUCCCGCAACGAGCGCAACCCCUACUUCAUGUUGCUAAUCCCGCAAGGGAUGCACUCUUGAAGAACUGCCUUCGAUAAGAAGGAGGAAGGUGGGGACGACGUCAAAUCCUCAUGGCCCUUAUGUCCAGGGCUACACACGUGCUACAAUGGCCGGUACAACGGGAAGCAAUACCGCAAGGUGGAGCAAAACCCUGAAAGCCGGCCCCAGUUCAGAUCGUGGGCUGCAACUCGCCCACGUGAAGGUGGAAUCGCUAGUAAUCGCGAAUCAGCAGGUCGCGGUGAAUACGUUCCCGGGCCUUGUACACACCGCCCGU
rnacentral:rRNA from 1 species